GGGAGCCAGCCCGGCCCUCCCGCCACACGGGACCCGAAACCGCUCAGUGCAGCAAGGCCAUGGCCACGUGGAGCCAGCAGAGCUGCUGUGCGCGGACCAGACAUUCUCCAAGACAUGGGGCUGCGUGAUUGGACCAGAGCCCUCAGUGCAGCUCAUCCGAAAUGGACUGAAGUUGGAUGAAUGUAGCCCCGGAAUGAGAAAACUGAGGCCCGUGGCGGUUGAACGGCCUCGCUGGGGUCCCCCUGCCGAGCACCAGUUGAGUGCAGGCGGCCUCGAGCUCAGAGUCCACGGAUGCAGGAGCUGCCCCAGUGCUGAGGAGCUGCCCCAAGGAGGAAGACCUGGGAGGAGUGCCAUCCGCGUGGGGGCGUGUGCCAGAUGCGGGCAAGGGAGGUGACACUGCCCUUGGCUGCAAGACCCAGCAUCCGAGUGAGGCCAGAGGGGAGACUCCAGGAGUAGGAAGAGGGGGGAGGCAGGACCAGGAGGCUCUGGGGGGAGGCUCAGCUGGGGGCUGGCGGGGGGGCGGGCAUUGGAGGGUGAGAGGCUGAGAAGUCGGCAUCAGGAAGCAUGUUUCAGCCAGUGACUCUCAGGUGUGGUGCUGGGACCAGCAGCAUCCCGUCACCUGGAGCUUGUCAGAAAUGCAGUCUGUGGACCCAAGACCCAAGCGCUGCAGGUGGUUCUGCCGCAGGCUCAGCUUCAGAGCCUCCUCUGUGUUAGGGGAAAUAAAGAGCCGGGGAGAGGGUGACGUUUGGCAGGUCUGGGACUGGAGAGGUGGGUGCAGGUUACAGUGGCAGAGCCUGCUGAUUGUCUGUCCAGCUGUCGCCUGCCUUCUCUUGGGGUUAGAAUUCCGUUCCUGUUUGAGCACCAGUGUGCUGAGGGGGUGGUGAGUGCAUCCUGCCUGAACUCAUCCAGUGUCUCCUGUUGCUGGUUAGGGAUCUAAACAGGAAAUCAGCUGGGGCUUCUGGGGGAAAUUAUGCGGAUUUGUAGUGGGUUGAAUGGUGGCCUUUAGAGAGAGAUGUUCACAUCCCAACCCCCAGAACCUGUAAGUGUGACCCUGUUUGGGAAGAAAAGGCUCUUGUCUCUGCAGAUGUAAUCAAGUUAGUGAUCUUGAGAUGAGAUCACUCUGGGUGUUCCAGGCUGGCUCCCAGUCCAAUGCCAAGUGUCCUUAUAAGAGACAGAAGAGGAGAGACAGACACAGAGGAGCCCCAUGAUGCUGAGCCCCUGACCCGGGGAGGCAGCCACAGCCCAGGCAUGCCGGGGAGGCCGGAGAGGUGAGCAGAGCCCCUCCCGUACAGCCUGCGGAAGAGCCCUGCGCCGCCCGCACCCGGUUCAGAGAGCCAGCCUCCAGACCAUGCGGGAGUCGGUGUCUGGUGUCUGUGCUGACCUGUUGCAGCCCUGGGACUCUCAGGCCGCCUGCCUGUGAACCUUCCUUCCUUCCGGUGCAGCACCGCCAUCCUAAACCAUGCCGUCAUUACUCCCUGCGUACUUGUGUGCGGCCUGUGUUCCCACUGGACUGUGAGCACUGGGAGGGCACAGCCGGGCUCUGGAUCUGGUGCCUCGUAGGCGCUUAGCAAAGUUUUGGUAAGCGAAUGCCCAGAAGAAGAUGACUUAAGAGAUUCACACCCAUUUUCUGCCUUCAGGUCAAUAUUUUGUGUUUUGUACUGUGCACACCAACAAAGUUAUAGGAUUGGCAUUCCCGUGGUGGCUCAGUGGGUUAUGACCUGACUAGUAUGCGUGAAGAUGUAGGUUCGAUCCCUGGCCUCGCUCUGUGGGUUAAGGAUCUGGUGUUGCUGUGAGCUGUGGUGUAGAUUGCAGAUGCGGCUUGAAUCUGGUGCUGAUGUGGCUGUGGUGUAGGCCGCCAGCUGCACUUCCAAUUUGACCCCUAGCUGGGGAACCUCCAUAUGCAAAGUUGUAGGAUAGAUGGAAGGUCAGCCAGUACAGCAGUGGGUGCCCAGUGCAUGUUGAAUGAAACCAUAUGGACUUGAGGUUGAAACACAUGUCGUUUCUUCACAGCUAAGGCCAUCAGGUAAAAUGGGGCAGACCUGGGUAAAGGGCUCACUGACCUAAAGCAAGGUGCCUUAGCCUCGUUACCGGUCACAGUGGGAACAGGAUAAUUCUUUGUUGGGGUGGGAGCUGUCCUCUCUAUACUUUGUGGGGUGUUUAGCAGCAUCCAGGUCCCUCCCCGCCAGAUGCCGGGGCACAGUCCUCACCCCCCAAGACAGGCGUGACAACCAAAAAUGUCCCCAGACAUGGCCAAAUGUCCCUGGGAGGCGAGUACCAUCACUCUCGGUUGAAGCCUCUGACCUGAGGAAUCCACGAAUAGACAAGUGAGCUUGGCCUCCCCUGAAAUCAGCGGACAGGAACACCCUCCAUGCCGUACCUGCUGACAGAAGUCCACUCGCUGCAGUCAGAACUGGAGCACAGUGAGAGGCUGCCAGGGACACACGUCGCGUCAGCUCACAGAGAAGCUGGGAAGGCCGGGGUGUGGGCCGCAGGCUGCCUGGGGGGAAGGAGAAACGCUGUGUGGGCUGGUUCCACAGGCAGAACAGACGAGGGGGCAAAGGUGCUCGCCCUUAUUGCCGGUAACCCGGUGGGACAGCCCCGACGAGUAACCUGGGAAUCAGCAUUGCAAGUCGGCAGAGCAGCAAGUGGCGUACAGGGUGCCAGCAAGUGCAGGGGUCUGCGUAUGACUCCUCACAGGGUGCUGCUUCCGCCUAAGCCUGGACCUGACCACAGGCCAAGGGCUUCAUCCCGGGCAGGUGGUGCAGAGAAGCUGGGAGAAGCUCUAGAGCUGCAGUGGCGAUGCUGAGGAGGAGGCCCUGGUCCGUCGCUUAUGGCACACCUGCUGUGGGCACUGGGUUAUCCAGGUCAAGGUCCCCAGAGAGUAACAGUCAUCAUGCCCGGCCCCCGUCUCCAGUUUCGAAAAAAGCAUAAAUGGGAGAACUGCAAAGAGACAUAACAGGUGACUUUGAAAGACCCCCUCCCCUUAGCCCUUAAUGGAGAAACCAGGUCAAAAUUAAUAAAGGCCACAGGAUGAGGUAAGGCCUUAAAUGAAGUGUGGUUAGUAUAACAAACACCCAUGUCUUACUGCUCAGCUUUAGGAGGUGGCAUGGUGGUUCUGUAUUUACAGCAGACCUUUUAGAUUUAGUGACUUAAAUAAUACCAAGACAUUUCAAGUACCAUUUCUGUUCUUCUCCUUCCCUCCCCAGCGGAAACUGAUUUUUUUUCUAUAUCCACAGCAUGUGGAAGUUCCUGGGCCAGGGAUCAAACCCAAGCCAGAGCAGCCACCCGAGCCAUAGCAGUAACAAGGCCAGAUCUUUAACCUGCUGUGCCGCAAGGGAACUCUGAAAGCCAGAUUCUUAAAAGUGUGAAUAUCCUUCUCUUUUGUACUGUUGAUAAUAUAUGGGCAUCCAAAAAUCAUAUAUAGUAUUGUUUCCUGUGUUAUUUAUAUGCCAAUUGUAUUAAAAUAGACAUGUUCUUGUUCUGUUUCUUCUCCCUCCCCCUCAUAUUUUGUUUCUGAGAACUUUCCAGGUUGACAGGGGAGAUCUUACUCUUAUCGCUUCAGCUGCCACAGAUUGAUCUAUCGCAUAAGUUACCUUAUCCAGUCCCCUGUUAGACCAUUUAGGUCAUUUUCAAUUCGUUAACCAAAAUAGUGCUGCAGUGAACAUGCUGGCAUCUCUCUCCUUGUGUGAGAGAGCUUCUCCAGGGGUGCAGAUAGAGGUGUGGUGGUGUGGGAUUCUACGCUAUCAAUGUUUUCAACUUAACUAGAUAUUAACAAAUCACUUUCCAAAGUGGCUGAAACAGUUUACAGCGUCAUUAGCAGGGCAUACAUUGCUGCUUGCCAGAGUCUUAUUUUCUCAGAUCUUCAAGGAACUGAUUAUCCCUACACUAUUUCAGCAAUUCCAGGGCAUCAAGAAAGACAGAAAUCACUUGACUAUUUUAUGAAGCCCUGCAUAACCUGGAAGCCACAGCUGGCAUAGAUUAUCGCAGGAAAGGUACUUCAAGGUCUCUGCCAAAGUUUGAACCAAGAGAUAGCAAAUAAAGCAAACAACAUACCAUGAUAAUCUGCACAAUCCAGGAACUGUUCCUUUUGGGAAACUUUUAAAAAUACUUCAGCCAAAUUAAUAGGACAAGGGAAAACAUCAUGCAGCCAUUUCUUACAAGCCAUAAAGAUAUUUCAUGAAAUUUAGUAUCCACUUCUGAUCCUUGAAAUGGAAGUGGUGGACACCUCCUUAUAAAGACAACACACAUUUCAAUCCAAAAAUUACCAUCAGAAUUUAUUGUAAAAAUGCCACAAGCAUUCCAUUAGAGCCACAGAGUUAGGAGUGUCUUUUAUCCCUGCUCUUGUGUAACAUAGUUCCAAAAGUGAUCAAGCAAUUAGACAAGAAGAUGAAAACAGUCAUGGACACUGGGAGACAAAAACGAUCAUAAUUUGUAGAAAACAAGGCUGUGUUGUUGGAGAAGCUCAGCAUAAAAAGUGGGCACUGUGGGAUCAGGGCUUUGCCUCCUUCAGCCCUGAG
rnacentral:lncRNA from 1 species